AACGAACGCUGGCGGCAUGCCUAACACAUGCAAGUCGAACGGAGGUCGGGGCUUCGGCUCCGGCCUUAGUGGCGAACGGGUGAGUAACGCGUGGAGACCUGCCCUUUAGUGGGGGAUAAC
rnacentral:rRNA from 1 species